rnacentral:rRNA from 1 species
CCUACGGGUGGCAGCAGUGAGGAAUAUUGGUCAAUGGGCGCUAGCCUGAACCAGCCAAGUCGCGUGAAGGAUGACUGCCCUAUGGGUUGUAAACUUCUUUUAUAUGGGAAUAAAGUGCAGUAUGUAUACUGUUUUGAAUGUACCUUAUGAAUAAGGAACGGCUAACUCCGUGCCAGCAGCCGCGGUAAUACGGAGGGUCCGAGCGUUAUCCGGAUUUAUUGGGUUUAAAGGGAGCGUAGGCGGGUUGUUAAGUCAGUUGUGAAAGUUUGCGGCUCAACCGUAAAAUUGCAGUUGAUACUGGCAUCCUUGAGUACAGUAGAGGUAGGCGGAAUUCGUGGUGUAGCGGUGAAAUGCUUAGAUAUCACGAAGAACUCCGAUUGCGAAGGCAGUUCACUGGACUGCAACUGACACUGAGGCUCGAAAGUGUGGGUAUCAAACAGGAUUAGAUACCCUUGUAGUC